UAUUACCGCGGCUGCUGGCACGUAGUUAGCCGUGGCUUUCUGGUUAAAUACCGUCAAUACCUGAACAGUUACUCUCAGAUAUGUUCUUCUUUAACAACAGAGUUUUACGAGCCGAAACCCUUCUUCACUCACGCGGCGUUGCUCCAUCAGACUUUCGUCCAUUG
rnacentral:rRNA from 1 species